AAAUGAAACUUGUGCACGACAGAUCAUCAGGCAUUAGAUUCUCAUAAGGAACAUACAACCUAGAUCCCUUGCGUGCACAGUUCACUAUAGGGUUCAGGCUUCUAUUAGAAUCCAAUGCCACCACUGAUCUGACAGGAGGUGGAGCUUAAGUGGUAACGCCAGCGAUGAGG